UAGGGCUACCUUGAGGGAACCAGAAAAACGAGUUGCAGGUGUGUGAGGGCUUUCUGGGCGGACCCAGGGAAAACUUAUGACCACAAGGGGGCAGUAGGACGCACAAGCUUUCUUUGAGCCAGGACUUGAGAGUUUUGGGUGUGGGGAAGUCCUUCGCAGCAGGAGAACUGUCCAGAGACAGGCAAGGGUUCACGGGUGCCACCAUUUGGAAGGGGAGGAAGAUGAGUGCCAGCUGGAGAGAACUAGUGAUACCUGGGCAGCUCCUUUACCAGAGUUAACUGGAGAUGCAAAUCCUCCCACGACCUCAGUGAUUGCAUCACAUGGUGAGAGUGAGGAAGUACCACCCGAACCUAAGGAAGGAGCAGCAGCACCAGCGGCACCAGUAAAAGGCCAUGUUGGUAGGGGAGCUCCUGGCCCCAUGGACAGACAAAGAGAACCUCGGGGUGGCAGGCGGGAGCCCAGGCAUCCUGAGGACAGGCAGCGGCCAUUCUACUGCACCGCUUUCACCCUGUUGCAGGUCCAGGAGCAGGAGAGCAUCUUACAACAAAUUCCCUACUCAGGCAUGUUAGCAUGGUAAGCUUCGUGCUCAGGCGGUUCUCCCUUUCCAAGGGACCCCUGGCUAGACCCAGGCCUCAUUUUCUUUCCCAGAGCCUCUUCCCUCCCUUCCUGAGCCAAAGGACAACUAGGGAUCCCAAGGCCGUGGGGCCCACCUGUCCUCAGGCCCCAGGGUAGAGGCAAUGCCUCCUGGGCACCAAGAAAGGAGCUUGCAAGAUUCAUGCACGUGACUGAGGCCAGCAUGCAGAUUAGCCCUGAACUAACUACUGCCAAUCCUACUCUUUUUGCUGAGGAAGACUGGUCCUGAGCUAACAUCCAUGCCCAUCUUCCUCUACUUUAUAUGUGGGACGCCCACCACAGCAUGGCUUUUGCCAAGCGGUGCCAUGUCUGCACCCAGGAUCCAAGCCGGCGAACCACGGGCCGCUGAGAAGCGGAACGUGCGCACUUAACUGCUGCGCCACCAGGCUGGCCCCUAGAAAUAUAUUCGAUAUGAUAUAAAUAAAUAUGUGCACAUUUGCAUGUGUAUACAUACACAUGCAUAUAUAUAUAUGUAUUAGGGAGGACUUCUGUGUGGAGACUAUACGAUGGAAAUAAUAACACUAUCUAUGUCAUAGAACUGAUGAGGGGAACAAAUGACAUAAUGCACAUAAGUACCCAGCACAACGCCCAGCGACAGAGGAAGCCCUGAGAAAUGUUCAGUACUAUUACUCCAUGAUAUAGCCUAUCACCGCGGUACAACCUGUGGCAUAUGUGACAUAGUGGGAAGAGGCCUGGUUAGGAGUCACACAUUCUGGUUCCUUUAGAGAUACACGCUGAGAUAUUUACAGAUGAAACGAUGCGAGGCCUAGAUUUGCAUCGAAAUAAUCCAGGGGCAGAUGCAGGGGUGUUGGAGCAUUGGUUAGGGCAUUGAUGAAAUGCGACGGCUGUUAAUAACUGUUGAAACUGAGUAAUGAGGACGCGGGACUCAUGCUACGAUUCUCUCUGUAUAUGUUUGACAUUUCUCAUAAUAAAAAAAUCAUGUUUUUAAAUGAUUGGCGUUACAAACUCAAAUGUUGAGAAGGCCAGGCGUGAGAACAGCAAGGAGGGUGGGGACUGGCACGUGUCUUUCCCAAAGGGGACGGCUGGUAUUCAGCUCAGCUCAGCGUUGCUGGGCAAGAAUGUUGGGUCAGGAUGGCCAGAUUUUCCAGCUUUUCAAGACUGGCCCCAAAUCAAAAUGCUGGUAUGAAACCUUCCAUUCUUUAAAUGUUGGCAACUAACUGAGAUGUUUUACCACAAAGCAUGCUGGCCACCUAAAACAGGUCCGCAGAAUACACUCAGCUUGCAGCUGCCCAUUUGUGGCCCUUGCCUGAGAGCUAACUUUCAACAAGUUUCAUUCGCAGAAGCAGAAGAAUGUAAUUAAAAGCACUCUUAAGGCCAAGAAUCCUAGGUUGCCAUUGUUCCACUCUGUCGUUUCUCAUUAUAAGACCUGCUCCCAUACAUGUUUUGGUCUCUCCCCUCCAUCCCUGCCUGUGAGUUUCUCUACCUGGAUGCUUCGCUCGGCUUACCUAGUUCUGAUCUCAAAUUUUUUCCCACUGAUGCCCAAGACAUUAGGAGCGUCUGAGAGAGGAGGCCCCAAGCUAACGAACCAGGACGUGCUUGACCUGCUCCUACUUGCUGGCACAUUUUCUAACGGUUCUUCACGAUAAGCGGGCAUACUGAGUGAAUCUUAAGAAACAUUAUGCCUCAGGGACAAGGUGAUAGGCUGGGAAGGUCAGAGCACCCAGCAGAAGAAAAAAAGGAUUUUAUGAAACAUUCACAUCCAAAAAUAUAUAUGUUGUUUACCAGUAAUUCAAACGUAACUCAGCCUCCUGUAUUUUUAAUGCUAAAUAUCGCAACUGUAAUGUAAACCUAUUGUCGUUUGCAUAGGAAAUAUUUUCAAUACUUUGUACUCUUUUUCCCAUUCCAUGUAUAUUUUUCUUUUCAUUCAGGAGAAAUUAAAAAACAUGUACUUUGAUUUGAGCCAUUCCUAUAUGAUACACACAUGUGUGCAUCCAUGGAAAUGAGCCACUGGGGCAACCGGUUCCCUGCAGCCUUCCGGCUCCUCAGGAGGCUCUUGGAGUCUAAGCUGAUGAACAGGAGACUGUGUCCUUUCUCAGCCCCAUGUUUGCAAUGACGCAAGGGAAGGGCAUGGGCCACAGGACAUAUUUCACCAGGGAGUGACCCAACUGGCAUUUGAAAUACUGGUGGCACAAGCUUUCAGCAUCACAGCAACAUGCCUCCACCACAGUAUGAAAACCGACAGACGGAUGGUGUGGUUCCCUGACCAGGAAACAAACCCUGUCAG
ensembl:lncRNA